GAUGAACGCUGGCGGCGUGCCUAAUACAUGCAAGUCGAGCGAACAGACGAGGAGCUUGCGUCUCUGACGUUAGCGGCGGACGGGUGAGUAACACGUGGAUAACCUACCUAUAAGACUGGGAUAACUUCGGGAAACCGGAGCUAAUACCGGAUGAUAUUUUGAACCGCAUGGUUCAAUAGUGAAAGACGGUCUUGCUGUCACUUAUAGAUGGAUCCGCGCUGCAUUAGCUAGUUGGUAAGGUAACGGCUUACCAAGGCAACGAUGCGUAGCCGACCUGAGAGGGUGAUCGGCCACACUGGAACUGAGACACGGUCCAGACUCCUACGGGAGGCAGCAGUAGGGAAUCUUCCGCAAUGGGCGAAAGCUUGACGGAGCAACGCCGCGUGAGUGAUGAAGGUCUUCGGAUCGUAAAACUCUGUUAUUAGGGAAGAACAAAUGUGUAAGUAACUGUGCACGUCUUGACGGUACCUAAUCAGAAAGCCACGGCUAACUACGUG
rnacentral:rRNA from 1 species